ACGCUGGCGGUGGGCGUGCCUAAAACAUGCGCAAGUCGAACGGGCGAGCCCGACGAAUGUCGGUGAACUACUCGCUAGUGGCAAACGGGUGAGUAACAAGGAGAUAAUCUGCCCCGAAGUUCGGAAUAAGCCUGCGAAAGCGGGUAUAAUACCGGAUGUGUCUACGCAACUGCGGUUGCGUAGGUAAAGCUUUUGCGCUUUGGUGAGUCUGCGGCCUAUCAGCCAGUUGGCGGGGUAAUAGCCCGACCAAGGCUACGACGGGUAGCCGGCCCGAGAGGGUUGUCCGGCCACAGGGCAACUGAGAUACGGUGCCCACUCCUACGGAAGGCAGCAGUUGGGAAUCGUUCGCAUGGACGAAAGUCUGACGACGCGACGCCGCGUGCGGGAUGAAGCUCUUCGGAGGUGUAAAACCGCUUUCUGGGGGAAAAAGAUCUGAUGGUUACCCCAGGAAUAAGAGGUUGCUAACUCUGUGCCAGCAGCAGCGGUAAUACAGAGACCUCGAGCGUUUUCCCGGAAUCAUUGGGCGUAAAGCGUCCGCAAUGGUUCCGUAAGUCGACGCUUAAAUCCGACCGGCUCAACCGUCGAUCUGGGUUCGAUACUACGACUAGAGGGUUUGGUAGAGGCUGAUGGAACUCCCGGUGUAGCAGUGAAAUGCGUAAGAUCGGGAAGAACACCAAUUACGAAGGCAGCCAGCUGGCCAACACCUGACAAUCCAGGGACGAAAGCGUGGGGAGCGAAGGGAUUAGAUACCCCGGUAAGGUCCACCGCCCGUAAACGAUGGGUACUAGGCUUGGGGGCGUUCGACACGCUCUGAGUCGUAAGCUAACGUGUUAAGUACCUCGCCUGGGAAGUACGGCCGCAAGGCUAAAACUCAAGGAAUUGACGGGGACCCGCACAAGCGGUGGAGCAUGUGGUUUAAUUCGAUGCAGAGCUGAAGAAACCCUUACCUAGGCCUUGACAUCUAGCUGCAGGCUCCUGGAAACAGGAGCGGCCUUCGGAGGGUGCUAGACAGGUGUUGCAUGGUUGUCGUCCAGCUCGUGGCGUGAGCUGUUGGGUUAAGUCCCGCAACGAGCGCAAACCCCUUGCCCUGUGUUAAAUCUCACAGGGACUGCCCGGCGUAUAGUCGGAAGGAAGGUGGGGAUGACGUCAAUCCGCAUGGCCCUCUGAUGCCUAGGGCUACACGCAUGCUACAAUGGCCAGUACCGAGCGACCUGCUAAACCGCAAGGUGGAGCGAAUCGCAUCAAAGCUGGCCCCAGUUCGGAUUGAGGGCUCAACUCGCCCUCAUGAAGUCGGAAUCGCUAGUAACCGUGGUCAGCCAUACACGGUGAUACGUUCUCGGGUCUUGUACACACCGCCCGUCAAGUCAAGAAAGCCAGAUAAUGCUCAAAGACAACCCGUAGGGGUGUUCAAGGCAGGACUGGUGAUCGGGGCU
rnacentral:rRNA from 1 species